AAAAUUUUCGGAAUUUAAACGGAGUCUGUAUGACCCGUUUUGAGGGGAUGAAUUUGGGGUACAGUGAAAGCCUGUUUGGAAUACCCAUUUAAGUGGGAGUUGAUUUGGGAAUGAACUUAGGAUUCAAUUAAACUAACCUAAGUUUUAUUAACCUAACUUUAUAUUCCUUCUCCUUUCACCCGACUCAUUUCUCCCGACCCCCUUCCCUCGGUCCCCAUCUCACGAUCUCCGGCGACAAGGCAUCGACGGCGAUCUCCGGCGACUAGGCAUCGAUGCCGAUGACCUUCUCCUCACGCUAAGGCCUUCUCUUUCCUCUCGCCUCUACCCGAACCCCCCUCUCCGGCGAUUUCUUCCCAGCGACGUCGAGCACGCCACCGCCCGCCGGUGUAACCUCGGCCAAGCCUCCCUUUUCCCUCUCCCUCCCGAGGCAUGGAGUCUUUCUUCCUCUCUUCUCCUCUUCACCGCCGGCGCAACCCUCUUUUCUCCUGAUCUCGUCGCCGUGCCCUAGAUUGUUGAUGUCGGAUCCCUCUUGUCGAGCUCUCCCGACCAGGCCACGCCACAUGGUGUAGCCGGUUCACCGCGAGCACCAGCUACACUGCUCCUUCCCUUCCGGCCAACCAUCGCCAUCCCUUUCCCGCGCCUGAUCGCCGACCACCAGAGCUUGACCUUUAAUUGCCAACCUAGCUUCAAGAUUGAUGCUAGGCAUGAUCCCGGUUCUGAUGUGAAGUGUCCGACCAAGCUGUAUUGAUCCGGCAAUGUGACCAAAAGACUAGCUGCGAAUUGGGGGGGAAGCUCCAUUUCUUUCUCCACAGCAACUUCAGAUUUCUUCAUCAAAGGAUGUGGAUCUGUUUUAGGUUAAGAUACAGUGUUGUAUGGUUUCUUCUUGGAUUGAUGUUCUUGGAAGAAUUGGAGUAUAUGUUUCUUUUGGAGCAUUCAAGCAGAGGCUGCUACUGGAUUUACUAGUAUAUCUCUCGGAUAGGUGUGUGUGUCUCCUGUAGCUUAUGGACAGGGAGUCAUAGGGCUGUGGGCUGCUAGAUUUGCUACUGCCUCCUAAGGAUUUGGAUUCGGGACGAGCCUCUCGACGUGGGACUUGUGGACACGAUCUAUGUAUACAAAGGCGGGUA